GUCUACGGCCAUACCACCCUGAACGCGCCCGAUCUCGUCUGAUCUCGGAAGCUAAGCAGGGUCGGGCCUGGUUAGUAUUUGGAUGGGAGAGAGCAGAUGCUGGCA
rnacentral:rRNA from 1 species